rnacentral:tRNA from 1 species
GGAUUGUGGCUCAGUGGUAGAGCACUUGCCUAGUCAUGUGCAAGGCCCUGGGUUCGAUCCCAGCACCA